CCUACGGGGGGCAGCAGUGAGGAAUAUUGGUCAAUGGGAGAGAUCCUGAACCAGCCAAGCCGCGUGAGGGAAGACGGCCCUAUGGGUUGUAAACCUCUUUUGUCGGAGAACAAAACCCGGGACGUGUCCCGGACUGCGUGUAUCCGAAGAAAAAGCAUCGGCUAACUCCGUGCCAGCAGCCGCGGUAAUACGGAGGAUGCGAGCGUUAUCCGGAUUUAUUGGGUUUAAAGGGUGCGUAGGCGGUCCGUUAAGUCAGCGGUAAAAUUGCGGGGCUCAACCCCGUCGAGCCGUUGAAACUGGCAGAC
rnacentral:rRNA from 1 species